AUUGAACGCUGGCGGCAGGCCUAACACAUGCAAGUCGAGCGGUAGAGAGGUGCUUGCAUCUCUUGAGAGCGGCGGACGGGUGAGUAAUGCCUAGGAAUCUGCCUAGUGGUGGGGGAUAACGUUCGGAAACGGACGCUAAUACCGCAUACGUCCUACGGGAGAAAGCGGGGGAUCUUCGGACCUCGCGCCAUUAGAUGAGCCUAGGUCGGAUUAGCUAGUUGGUGAGGUAAUGGCUCACCAAGGCGACGAUCCGUAACUGGUCUGAGAGGAUGAUCAGUCACACUGGAACUGAGACACGGUCCAGACUCCUACGGGAGGCAGCAGUGGGGAUAUUGGACAAUGGGCGAAAGCCUGAUCCAGCCAUGCCGCGUGUGUGAAGAAGGUCUUCGGAUUGUAAAGCACCUUUAAGUUGGGGUAGGAAGGGUAGUAACCUAAUACGUUGCUACUUUGACGUUACCGACAGAAUAAGCACGGCUAACUUCGUGCC
rnacentral:rRNA from 1 species